rnacentral:tRNA from 1 species
GGAGUGGUAGUUCAGUUGGUUAGAAUGCCUGCCUGUCACGCAGGAGGUCGCGGGUUCGAAUCCCGUCCAUUCCGCUA